rnacentral:rRNA from 1 species
GACAGAGGGUGCAAACGUUGCUCGGAAUUACUGGGCGUAAAGCGCGUGUAGGCGGACCAGCAAGUCGGACGUGAAAUCCCUGAGCUCAACUCAGGAACUGCAUCCGAAACUGCUGGUCUGGAGUGGUGGAGAGGGAAGCAGAAUUCCUGGUGUAGAGGUGAAAUUCGUAGAUAUCAGGAGGAACACCGGUGGCGAAGGCGGCCUUCCUGGACACUUACUGACGCUGAGACGCGAAAGCGUGGGGAGCAAACAGG